ACAGUGAGUUUCAAAAAAAAAAAAAUCAAAAGGAAAAGACAAAAACUUUCAAGUUAGUCUUUUAGGACCUGUUCUUAAGAACACCAUGCCCAAGGUAAGCUCACCUCAUCCUGUCCCCAGCCUGGAUGGAAGUGGUCUGCAUGAGGUCCCCUGAACCCACUUCCUGCCGCCAGCCAGAUCUUCUGGUUGGGGUGAACGCAAGGACAGACAAUUUCUCCUUGAUCUCACUCAAUGGCACCGUGGACCCGGAGGUGCCCAGUCACGCGUGGCCGUCCUCAGCACUGUCCCCUCCCCUCAGGACAGACUCUGCACUUGGCUGUCCUGAGGAUCCAGAGGAGGCCUGAGCCUGGCCUGAGCCUGGCCUCACCUGGGGGCCCUGCAGCGACCUCGUUGUCUGGCCCAGCCCGGGAGCUUGGCGUCGGAGGCGUCCCAGCGGCCUCCACGGUGGGCUGAGUGGUCACCCAGGAGCAUCCACCCUGCGGCCGUGCUGCCGGGGAAGCUGAGCUGGAGAGAGCGAGGCCGCAGUCCCCUGCCUGUGCCUGUCCCCGGCAGCACCGUACGCCGUUCCUGUUUCCUGUGUCCAGCGCCUUUCCCAUGUCUCGCCCGCGGACAGCCUGUUCCCCAGUCUUCCGGAGAAAGGUGCAGUUUGAGACAGGGUCUUG